UACAGAGGUGGCAAGCGUUGUUCGGAAUUACUGGGCGUAAAGGGCGCGUAGGCGGUUCUGUAAGUCCCGCGUGAAAUCCCCCGGCUCAACUGGGGAACUGCGCGGGAAACUGUGGGGCUAGAGUUCAGGAGAGGGAAGCGGAAUUCCGGGUGUAGCGGUGAAAUGCGUAGAUAUCGAGAGGAACACCUGCGGCGAAGGCGGGUUGCUGGGCUGACACUGACGCUGAGGCGCGAAAGCUAGGGGAGCGAACGGG
rnacentral:rRNA from 1 species